UGGGGAAUAUUGCACAAUGGGCGCAAGCCUGAUGCAGCCAUGCCGCGUGUGUGAAGAAGGCCUUCGGGUUGUAAAGCACUUUCAGCGGGGAGGAAGGCGUUAAGGUUAAUAACCUUGGCGAUUGACGUUACCCGCAGAAGAAGCACCGGCUAACUCCGUGCCAGCAGCCGCGGUAAUACGGAGGGUGCAAGCGUUAAUCGGAAUUACUGGGCGUAAAGCGCACGCCGGCGGUCUGUCAAGUCGGAUGUGAAAUCCCCGGGCUCAACCUGGGAACUGCAUUCGAAACUGGCAGGCUAGAGUCUUGUAGAGGGGGGUAGAAUUCCAGGUGUAGCGGUGAAAUGCGUAGAGAUCUGGGGGAAUACCGGUGGCGAAGGCGGCCCCCUGGACAAAGACUGACGCUCAGGUGCGAAAGCGUGGGGAGCAAACAGG
rnacentral:rRNA from 1 species